AUGCCAAGCCUCUCUGAAUAUAUAAAGGAAACCUUCGAGAGCAAUUUCAGAGUUACCCAGAAGAAGCCGAAGAAAAGAGAUUUCAUCCAGCUCUGUCAGACAGAGACUGAACCAACCAUGCUUCUCCCUGCCAUUCACUUCUACGGCUUUCUCCUAGCGUGCAUCUUCACGAAAACCUACUUGGCUUUCAAGAACGAUGCCACAGAGAUACUUUACUCACACGUCGUUAAACCCGCUGCAGCGAGCCCCAGCAGCAACAGCACGCUGAACCAAGCCAGGAACGGAGGCAGGCACUACACCGGCGCCGGAGCCGACCGUAACAGUGAGUAUCCCACCGGCGGGGCGCUCCCCCCGCGGCCCCGGCAGCUCCCGCCCCCCCAGGGCGCGGCGGGGCUGUAG